rnacentral:rRNA from 1 species
GAUGAACGCUGGCGGCGUGCUUAACACAUGCAAGUCGAGCGAAAGGACGAGAAGUUUGCUUGUCUGACGUUAGCGGCGGACGGGAGAGUAACACGGGGAUAACCCACCUAUAAUCCUGGGAUAACUUCGGGAAACCGGAGCUAACCCCGGAUAAUAUCUCGAACCGCAUGGUUCAAAAAUGAAAGACGGUCUUGCUGUCACUUAUAGAUGUCUGCGUGCUGCAUUAGCUAGUUGGUAAGGUAACGGCGUACCAAGGCAACGAUGCGUAGCCGACCUGGGAGAGUGGUCGGCCGCAUGAGAGCUGAGACGGGCACAAGGGUCCUGAGGGACGCAGCAGAAGGGAAUGUUACGCAGUGGUCGAGAGCCUGACGGAACAACGCCACGUGAGUGAUGGAGGUCUUCGGUGCGUGAAGCUCUGUUAUUAGGGAUAAACAUAUGUGUAAGUAGCUGUACACAUCUUGACGGUACCUGAUGAGAAAGCCACGGCUAACUACGUG